rnacentral:rRNA from 1 species
UACGUAGGGUCCGAGCGUUGUCCGGAAUUAUUGGGCGUAAAGGGCUCGUAGGCGGUUUGUUGCGUCGGGAGUGAAAACUUACAGCUUAACUGUGAGCGUGCUUCCGAUACGGGCAGACUUGAGGUAUUCAGGGGAGAACGGAAUUCCUGGUGUAGCGGUGAAAUGCGCAGAUAUCAGGAGGAACACCGGUGGCGAAGGCGGCAUCCUGGACCGGUAUUGACGCUGAUGCGCGAAAGCCAGGGGAGCAAACGGG